rnacentral:rRNA from 1 species
GAUGAACGCUGGCGGCGUGCCUAAUACAUGCAAGUAGAGCGAACGGACGGGAAGCUUGCUUCCCUGAUGUUUUCCGCGGACGGGUGAGUAACACAUGUAUAACCUAUCGAUAAGACUGGGAUAACUUCGGGAAACCGGAUCUAAUACCGUAAAAUAUUUUGAACCGUAUGGUUCAAAAGAGAAAUACGAUCUUGCCGCUACCUGUAGAUGCAGCGGCGUUGCAUUAGGUUGUUGGGAAGGUAACGGCUUACCAAGGCAACGAUGAAUAGCCGACCUGGGAGGGUAACCGGCAACACUGGACCUGAGAAACGGUCAAGAUUCCUAGGGGAGGAAGAAGUGGGGAACCUUCGGCAAUGGGCGAAAGCCUGACGGACAAACGCCGCGUGGGUGAUGAAGGUCUUCGGAUCGUAAACCUCUGUUAUUAGGGAAGAACAUAUGUGUAAGGAAAUGUGCACAUCUUGACGGUACCUAAUCAGAAAGCCACGGCUAACUACGUG